GUCAGCAGCGAUGUGUGUAGUAUCUGCAAUAACUCACUGAGCGCCAGGGUUGAUUUGGCUGACCUGACUGGCCAGACAGCUGCUCCCUUCCUCCCUCAGGGAGAUAGGCGUGUGUCUCCUGCAGUUGCAGCUAGGUUGAACAGGAUGACGAUCCCUGAGAGAAGAGGAUUGACCUUUGGUCAAGGGACUAUGAGUAGCUGCACUUCCCUGCUAGAAUUUCCAAUGAAGCAGAAACCUAAGAGUGAAGCAUUAUUGCAUUGAUCUUCAUAGAAGUCAUAUAAGCAGUCAGAAUUAUGAUCCAAUAUCAAUGAUGAGGAAAUUG
rnacentral:snRNA from 1 species